AUUAAACGCUGGCGGCAUGCCUUACACAUGCAAGUCGAACGGCAGCACGGGGCAACCUGGUGGCGAGUGGCGAACGGGUGAGUAAAGCAUCGGAACGUGCCCUGGAGUGGGGGAUAACGUAGCGAAAGUUACGCUAAUACCGCAUAUUCUGUGAGCAGGAAAGCAGGGGAUCGCAAGACCUUGCGCUCUGGGAGCGGCCGAUGUCGGAUUAGCUAGUUGGUGGGUAAAGGCCUACCAAGGCGACGAUCCGUAGCGGGUCUGAGAGGAUGAUCCGCCACACUGGGACUGAGACACGGCCCAGACUCCUACGGGAGGCAGCAGUGGGGAAUUUUGGACAAUGGGCGAAGCCUGAUCCAGCCAUGCCGCGUGAGUGAAGAAGG
rnacentral:rRNA from 1 species